GAGGGUAUAGCUCAGUGGUAGUGUAUGCCUAGCAUGCACAAGGUUCUGGGUUCAAUUCCCAGUACUUCG
rnacentral:tRNA from 1 species